AGCGAACGCUGGCGGCAGGCUUAACACAUGCAAGUCGAGCGGGCAUAGCAAUAUGUCAGCGGCAGACGGGUGAGUAACGCGUGGGAACGUACCUUUUGGUUCGGAACAACUGAGGGAAACUUCAGCUAAUACCGGAUAAGCCCUUACGGGGAAAGAUUUAUCGCCGAAAGAUCGGCCCGCGUCUGAUUAGCUAGUUGGUGAGGUAAUGGCUCACCAAGGCGACGAUCAGUAGCUGGUCUGAGAGGAUGAUCAGCCACAUUGGGACUGAGACACGGCCCAAACUCCUACGGGAGGCAGCAGUGGGGAAUAUUGGACAAUGGGCGCAAGCCUGAUCCAGCCAUGCCGCGUGAGUGAUGAAGGCCCUAGGGUUGUAAAGCUCUUUUGUGCGGGAAGAUAAUGACGGUACCGCAAGAAUAAGCCCCGGCUAACUUCGUGCCAGCCGCCGCCGUAACAC
rnacentral:rRNA from 1 species